rnacentral:rRNA from 1 species
GCCAGACUCCUACGGGAGGCAGCAGUGGGGAAUAUUGCACAAUGGGGGGAACCCUGAUGCAGCGACGCCGCGUGGGUGAAGGAGUAUUUCGGUAUGUAAAGCCCUAUCAGCAGGGAAGAACAAUGACGGUACCUGACUAAGAAGCACCGGCUAAAUACGUGCCAGCAGCCGCGGUAAUACGUAUGGUGCAAGCGUUAUCCGGAUUUACUGGGUGUAAAGGGGGCGCAGACGGCGAUGCAAGCCAGGAGUGAAAGCCCGGGGCCCAACCCCGGGACUGCUCUUGGAACUGCGCGGCUGGAGUGCAGGAGGGGCAGGCGGAAUUCCUGGUGUAGCGGUGAAAUGCGUAGAUAUCAGGAGGAACACCGGUGGCGAAGGCGGCCUGCUGGACUGCGACUGACGUUGAGGCCCGAAGGCGUGGGGAGCAAACAGGAUUAGAUACCCGAGUACAG